rnacentral:rRNA from 1 species
AGAGCGCACGGUGGAUGCCUUGGCACUAAUAGGCGAAGAAGGACGCGACUAACAGCGAAAUGCUACGGGGAGCAGUAAGUACGCAGAGAUCCGUAGAUGUCCGAAUGGGGGAACCCACUAGUUUGAAGAACUAGUAUCAUAUAGUGAAUACAUAGCUAUAUGAGGCAAACCUGGAGAAUUGAAACAUCUUAGUACCCAGAGGAAAAGAAAAUAAAUAAUGAUUCCCUAAGUAGAGGCGAUUGAAAGGGGAAGAGCCCAGCACCAUCAAGAGUUACAAAAUCUUUUUAUAGUAGAAUUGUAUUGGAAAAGCAAGUCAAAGAAGGUGAAAGCCCUGUAUACGAAAUAAAGAGAUCUCGGUGUGAGAGUAGGGCGGAGCACGUGAAAUUCUGUCUGAAUAUGCGAGGACCAUCUCGUAAGGCUAAAUACUCAUUAGUGACCGAUAGUGAACCAGUACUGUGAAGGAAAGGUGAAAAGAACCCCUGGCGGGGAGUGAAAAGAACCUGAAACCGUGUGCUUACAAACAGUUAGAGCCCAUCAAUGGGUGAUAGCGUGCCUUUUGUAGAAUGAGCCGGCGAGUUACGUUAAUUUGCAAGGUUAAGCUUUUAGGAGUGGAGCCGUAGCGAAAGCAAGUCUUAAUAGGGCGAAUAAGUAGAUUGACGUAUACCCGAAACCGGGUGAUCUAGCCAUGAGCAGGUUGAAGCUUGGGUAAAACCAGGUGGAGGACCGAACCAGGGUCUGUUGAAAAAGACUUGGAUGACUUGUGGCUAGGGGUGAAAUUCCAAUCGAACCCGGAGAUAGCUGGUUCUCCCCGAAAUAGCUUUAGGGCUAGCGUUGUGAGAAGAGUUAUACGAAGGUAGAGCACUGAAUGGGUGAGGGCCGCACCUCGCGGUACCAAUCUCAAUCAAACUCCGAAUGUCGUAUAAUAUGCGCAGCAGUAAGACUAUGGGUGAUAAGGUCCAUGGUCAAAAGGGAAACAGCCCAGACCGCCAGUUAAGGUCCCAAAAUUAUGCUAAGUGGGAAAGGAGGUGGAGUCGCUUAAACAACUAGGAGGUUGGCUCAGAAGCAGCCAUCCUUUAAAGAGUGCGUAAUAGCUCACUAGUCGAGUGAUUCUGCGCCGAAAAUGUAUCGGGGCUAAGCAUAAUACCGAAGCUGCGGGAUUAGAUGAAGAAUCUAAUCGGUAGGGGAGCGUACUAAGUGCGUAGAAGGUUGACCGGAAGGGCAGCUGGAGCGCUUAGCAGUGAGUAUGCCGGUGUGAGUAGCGAUAAGAUGGGUGAGAAUCCCAUCCGUCGAAAGCCUAAGGUUUCCAGGGGUAAGGCUCGUCCUCCCUGGGUAAGUCGGGUCCUAAGGUGAGGCUGAGAAGCGUAGCUGAUGGACAUCAGGUUGAUAUUCCUGAACCACCAUAAAACUGAAGGAAUGACGGAGGAGGCUAAUCAGAGCUGAUUAAUGGAUUUCAGUUUAAGUACAAAGAGGGUUACGUAGGCAAAUCCGCGUAGCAAAACCUUGAAGUAUGAUGACGUAAGUCUGGUGAAGCCACACUUCCAAGAAAAGUUUCUAGGUGUAUUUUAUGGUGCCCGUACCGUAAACGGACACACGUAGGCGAGGAGAGAAUCCAAAGACGCGCGAGAUAAUUCUUGUUAAGGAACUCUGCAAAAUUACUCUGUAACUUCGGAAUAAAGAGGGCUCCCGUGAGGGAGACGCAGAAAAUAGGCCCAAGCGACUGUUUAACAAAAACAUAGGUUUCUGCUAAAGCGUAAGCUGAUGUAUAGGAGCUGACGCCUGCCCAGUGCUGGAAGGUUAAGAGGAGAAGUUAGUCGCAAGGCGAAGCUUUGAAUUGAAGCCCCAGUAAACGGCGGCCGUAACUAUAACGGUCCUAAGGUAGCGAAAUUCCUUGUCAGGUAAGUUCUGACCCGCACGAAAGGCGUAACGAUUUGGGCGCUGUCUCAACAAGAAACUCGGUGAAAUCAUAGUACCUGUGAAGAUGCAGGUUACCCGCGAUCAGACGGAAAGACCCCAUGGAGCUUCACUGCAACUUAAUAUUGAUAUUGGGUGUGUGAUGUACAGGAUAGGUGGGAGACAAAGAAGCGAGUACGCUAGUAUUCGUGGAGUCAACCUUGGGAUACCACCCCUCGCACAUUUAGUAUCUAACUAGUUUCCAUAAGCUGGGAAUAGAACAG